AACGGGUGAGUAACACGUAAGCAACCUACCCUAAAGACGAGGAUAACCAUUGGAAACAGUGGCUAAGACUGGAUAGGAAGAAAUAAGGCAUCUUUUUUCUUUUAAAAGACCUAGUGAUAGGUAUACUUUAGGAGGGGCUUGCGCCAUAUUAGUUAGUUGGUAGGGUAAUGGCCUACCAAGACGAUGAUGUGUAGCUGGACUGAGAGGUUGAACAGCCACAUUGGGACUGAGACACGGCCCAAACUCCUACGGGAGGCAGCAGUAGGGAAUUUUCGGCAAUGGAGGAAACUCUGACCGAGCAACGCCGCGUGAACGACGAAGUACUUUGGUAUGUAAAGUUCUUUUAUCAAAGGAAGAAAAGCAAGUGGUGAACCAUUUGUUUGCCGGUACUUGAGAAUAAGCCCCGGCUAAUUAUGUGCCAGCAGCCGCGGUAAGACAUAAGGGGCAAGUGUUAUCCGGAAUUAUUGGGCGUAAAGGGUGCGUAGGCGGUCUAGUAAGUCAGUGGUGUAAUGGCAACGCUCAACGUUGUCCGGCUAUUGAAACUGCUAAACUUUGAGUUAGAUAGAGGCGAGUGGAAUUCCAUGUGUAGCGGUAAAAUGCGUAAAUAUAUGGAGGAACACCAGAGGCGUAGGCGGCUCGCUGGGUCUUAACUGACGCUGAGGCACGAAAGCGUGGGGAGCAAACAGGAUUAGAUACCCUGGUAGUCCACGCCGUAAACGAUGAGUACUAAGUGUCGGGUUAAACCGGUACUGAAGUUAACACAUUAAGUACUCCGCCUGAGUAGUACGUACGCAAGUAUGAAACUUAAAGGAAUUGACGGGACUCCGCACAAGCGGUGGAUCAUGUUGUUUAAUUCGAAGAUACCCGAAAAACCUUACCAGGUCUUGACAUGUUUUUGCGAAACGGUAGUAAUAUCGUGGAGGUUAUCAGAAACACAGGUGGUGCAUGGUUGUCGUCAGCUCGUGUCGUGAGAUGUUAGGUUAAGUCCUAAAACGAGCGAAACCCUUAUCGUUAGUUGCCAGCACGUUAUGGUGGGGACUUUAACGAGACUGCCAGUGAUAAAUUGGAGGAAGGUGAGGAUCACGUCAAAUCAGCAUGCCCCUUAUGACCUGGGCUACAAACGUGAUACAAUGGCUGUUACAAAGGGUAGCUGAAACGCAAGUUCUUGGCCAAUCCCCAAAAACAGUCUCAGUCCGGAUUGAAGUCUGCAACUCGACUUCAUGAAGUUGGAAUCGCUAGUAAUCGCGAAUCAGCAUGUCGCGGUGAAUACGUUCUCGGGGUUUGUACACACCGCCCGUCAAACCACGAAAGUUGGCAAUACCCCAAAACGGUAGCCUAACUCGUUUAUCGAGAGGGCGCUGUCUAAGGUAGGGUCGAUGAUUGGGGUUAAGUCGUAACAAGGUAUCCCUACCGGAAGGUGGGGAUG
rnacentral:rRNA from 1 species